rnacentral:rRNA from 1 species
AUUGAACGCUAGCGGGAUGCUUUACACAUGCAAGUCGAACGAGUGGCGGACGGGUGAGUAAUAUAUCGAAACGUGCCCAGUAGCGGGGGAUAACUACUCGAAAGAGUGGCUAAUACCGCAUACUAUUGUAAGGGUCGAGAUCGGAUUAGCUAGGUGGUGGGGUAAAGGCUCACCAAGGCAACGAUCCGUAGCUGAGGUGAGAGGACGACCAGCCACACUGUGAUGGAGACACGGCCCAGACCCAUACGGGAGGCAGCGGUGGGGAAUGUUAGACAAGGGGAGAAACCCUGAUCUGGCCAACCCGAGUAUAGGAGAAGUCCUUCGGGUUGUAAAGUAAUUUUGGCAGAAAAUCGGUAUCUGCAGAAUAAGCACCGGCUAACUACGUGCCAGCAGCCGCGGUAAUAC